GUGAAUGUGUAUCAGCAUGUUUGACAGAAGAAGAAUUGAAGAAGAUGAACUUAUCGUCUAUACUAUACUCGGAAAAGGAAUAGUAUAGUAUAUAUUCUUUAGUGUAGUUAUUUAUGUAAAGUUACUAUACUAUUUGGGAUAUAUAUCUAAACAAUCCCUUAAAAAUAUAAUCAUUUUCAUAUUUACAAAUUUGAUAGUUUUCUUCUAUGUCAUUUUGUGUAAUUGAUUGUAAUAUGAAAUUCAUACUAUAUUGGUUUAAGUGUAAUGAUUAAAACCAAUUUUGGAUAGAUGACAAAUAAACUCUUAUAUUAAGGUACUAUACUACAUUUCUCAACUAUAAAUAAUAUUUAUAUAGUAUAAAUUAAUAUUACAUAAUAUUAUGUAUUAUUUUAGAUUUUGAUAUUUGGAUUUAGAGUUUAUAUUUGAGUUUAUGGUUUAGUAAUUAGUGAUUAGGGUUUAGUAUUUAGAGUAAUAGGGGUGAGUUUGAGGCCAAUAUUAGAUUUUGAGUUUUAGGUUUAGAGUUUAGGGUUUAUGGUUUAUAUUUGGGUUUAGGGUUUAUACUUGGGUUUAGGGUUUAGUGAUUAGGAUUUAGGGUUUAGUAUUUAGAAGGGCGGGGUUGGGAUUUAAGUUUAGUGAACAUGUAUCGUUUCAUUUGACGAUUAAUAAAGAUUGUUCUAUUUUGUUUACCAAUAUGUAUUAUACUAUUUAUUUUAUUCCAUUAUGUUUGGGUUUAUGGGCCAUAUUGAGUUUAGGAUUUAGUGAUUAGAGUUUAAAGUUUAGUAUUUGGAAGGUGCGUGGUUAAGGUUUGGGUUUAGUGAUAGCAGUUUAGGGUUUAAUAUUCAAAAUAUGCCUUCAAGUGUCCAAUAUUGGAAAAAAAAUUAUAGAUUGUAUUUGAGUUUAUAAGUUCAUGUCUAGGGUUUAAAUUUACAAAGUAGAGGUUUGGGUAUAGUAAACCACAUAUAUAUAUAUAUACUAUUUGGGUUUAUACUUCCUUAAUUAGGGUUUAGCUUAAUAAUUAAUGGUGUGUCUUGUAUUGUUGUAUUUUUGCGGGUGAAGAUGAUUUACUAUUUGCAUUUCAUACUAUGGAUACACAAUUGAAUUUUUUUGAUUAUUUUAAACAUUCGUGUACUAUACUACUUAGACUAUAUGAAAUAGAAAAUAUGUAACAUGUUAACCAAGUAAAUGUGCCUUCAAGUGUCAAAUAUUAGGAAAUAAUUUAUAGAUUGUAUUUGAGUUUAUAGGUUCAUGCAUAGGGUUUAGAUUUAGUAAGUAGAAGUUUGGGUUUAGUAAACCAUAUUAUAUUUUUUGUUCCAUUCUAUCUGGGUUUAGGGUCUAUACUUGGGUUUAGGGUCUAUACUUAGGUUUAGGGUUUAGUGAUUAGGAUUUAGAGUUUAGUGAUUAGCAUUUAGGAUUUAGUAUCGGGGAUUGAAGUUUGGGUUUAGUGAUAACAGUUUAGGGUUUAGUAUUCAAAAGUUAGGGUUUAAUAUAAAAUCAGUUUCAUUCAAAUGUUUGACAAUGUUAGGGUCAUCUCUAGUUCUUUUUCAUCAACAAGUACUUUUAUUUCUUCUCGUACUAUUUUACAUAUGAUGCUCAACUAAUAUAAAUAGAAUAAGCAUUUGUAUACUAUUUUAUACAAUGUCCAUACUAUGUAUGUAUAGUACUUGAAAAUAUUAUAAAAUAUUAUAUAUUUAAGAUUUUGGUUUUCUUUUAAAUAUUUAUUAUAGCUUAGAUCUGGGUUAAGGAUUUAGUGGCUAGGGUUUAGAGUUUAGUAAUUAGGGGUUGGGUUUAGAGUUUAGUAUGAUAUUUUCCAUCUUUAUAUAGUAUAGUUUAAUAUCACAAAAUAUUAUAUAUAUUUUCAGAUUUUAAUUUUAUUUUAAAAUUAUAAAUAUAUAAUAUAGUUUACAUUUGAGUUUGGGUUUAGUGAUCCAUUUAGGGUUUAGUAUUUAAAAUUUGGAGUUAGAUUUAGGUUUAUAUUUGAGUUUAUGGUUUAUAUUUGGAUUUAGGGUUUAGUGAUUAGGGUUUAAGGUUUAGUAUUUAGAGAUUAGUUUCAGAUUGAGAUAAGUUUUAGUAUCUAGAUUUAAGGUUGAUGUAUAAUUAAUAUUCUAUAUUAUUUUGGUGAUAUGAAGUAGAAUUAAUGAAAUGUUAGUGGUUAUUAUGUAUGUGAUGUGGCUGUAUUAUUUUCCUUUUGUUGGUGACAAUUUGCAUUAAUUAUUGGUCACACUUGAAUUUUGUCAACGUCAUCUUUACAUCUUUAAGCCAUCAGCAACUUGUAUGAAUCAAAAGUAAAAUCAAUGGAAAUGAAGCACAAUUAUUAGAUAAUACAAUAUGUCAAAAUCAGUGAUCUGCAGUUAAUUUCUUUUCCA
rnacentral:lncRNA from 1 species